rnacentral:rRNA from 1 species
UACACUCCUACGGGAGGCAGCAGUAGGGAAUCUUCGGCAAUGGGGGCAACCCUGACCGAGCAACGCCGCGUGAGUGAAGAAGGUUUUCGGAUCGUAAAGCUCUGUUGUAAGUCAAGAACGAGUGUGAGAGUGGAAAGUUCACACUGUGACGGUAGCUUACCAGAAAGGGACGGCUAACUACGUGCCAGCAGCCGCGGUAAUACGUAGGUCCCGAGCGUUGUCCGGAUUUAUUGGGCGUAAAGCGAGCGCAGGCGGUUUGAUAAGUCUGAAGUUAAAGGCUGUGGCUCAACCAUAGUUCGCUUUGGAAACUGUCAAACUUGAGUGCAGAAGGGGAGAGUGGAAUUCCAUGUGUAGCGGUGAAAUGCGUAGAUAUAUGGAGGAACACCGGUGGCGAAAGCGGCUCUCUGGUCUGUAACUGACGCUGAGGCUCGAAAGCGUGGGGAGCGAACAGGAUUAGAUACCCCAGUAGUCC